CUAUUAUGGGGCGAGAUUGUUAUUCAAAGCUUUAUUUUGCUAUGAUCCGCGUAGCUAUUAUAAUAGUUGUGUAGGGAGUAAGGCGGAAAACAGGAUAAAAGCGCAGAGAAGAUGAGAAUGGGCACACAUUGCAGCUGCGCUGCCAACGCACUGCAACGAAGAGUUGCAGGUGUCCUGAUCAGUCGGUAUUCCCCCCUAAAAAUAUAAUUUUAGGUGUGUCAGAUAUUUACCGACCACGUAAUUCGCUGCAGAUAUAAUGACGGCCAGCUUCCUGUGGUCAAACCACGAAGGAUCAACAGGUUUGGGAGUCUUGAACGCUAUUUUAGCCCGUAGUCUUGCUCUUUCGCGUCAAUAGUAGGCUCUCAAUGUGGAAAGUGCAAAGAGACCAGCGGACAGAAGUUUCUGCCCUCAAUCAUAGUGCUGCAUAUUGCCGAACACCUCUCCAGGAGAAAGCACGAGUCAUAGUCUCAUUCAUGCCAAUUUCAGGUACAAAAAGAUGGCACAUUAAAACACCAGAAAUGCAACGUUG
rnacentral:sRNA from 1 species